rnacentral:misc_RNA from 1 species
GAUGAAGAACGUAGCGAAAUGCGAUACGUAGUGUGAAUUGCAGAAUUCAGUGAAUCAUCGAAUCUUUGAACGCACAUUGCGCCCGCCAGUAUUCUGGCGGGCAUGCCUGUCCGAGCGUCAUUUCAACCCUCGAACCCCUCCGGGGGGUCGGCGUUGGGGAUCGGCCCUUUACGGGGCCGGCCCCGAAAUACAGUGGCGGUCUCGCCGCAGCCUCUCCUGCGCAGUAGUUUGCACACUCGCAUCGGGAGCGCGGCGCGUCCACAGCCGUUAAACACCCCAAACUUCUGAAAUGUUGACCUCGGAUCAGGUAGGAAUACCCGCUGAACUUAAGCAUAUCAAUAAGCGGAGGA